AGGAGUAUAGCUCAGUGGUAGAGCACGUGCUUGGCAUGCAUGAGGUCCUGGGUUCAAUCCCCAGUACCCCUG
rfam:Camelus ferus unplaced genomic scaffold scaffold301, whole genome shotgun sequence.